GGGGCUGACUUUGGUUUUGACAGCAAGCCGAAUGAGUUUGUAAGCAUGCCGAGCAUCGUGCGCUACGCUCGUUACGAAUUAGCGCGCAACAAAAAGCAAGUGGCGACAACAACAACUUCGCUCUCGCUGCCUAGUCAUUGCUAAGCAAGACGGGCUUAAUCUCCACGCAGGAGUCGUGGCGACGAGAUGUCUCCCGGGUAGCACCGCCCUGUUGCGACCCGACCCGAGGCACCGGAAAUAUAGGGCUAGCUCUGGGUGGCCUCGCGCCCUGGGCGAAACUUUAGAGGAUACGGCGAUGGUUGGUGGCUAAGCGCCUGCCAUGGCCCGACAAUCAAGCCUUAGCUAAGCAUGUAGAAGGCAGGCUGGUUCCUUGUAUGGACGCGGGUUCGAUUCCCGCCAGCUCCACAG
rnacentral:tmRNA from 1 species